AUGGUAAAAGAAUAUAAAAUUCUUUUCAAAUGUAUAUUGAAAUUUUAAUUUCAUUAAAUAUUAAGAAUCCUUGAAUAAAAAUUAAUCCUAUUUUAUAUUGCAAACAAAAUUUUAUACGUCUUGUAUUUAUGUCGAAAUAAUUGCGAUUGUACUUCAAAAUACUAUGAACAAAAUUAUAUAUCAAAUUUGGAGGGCCAAUUUCAAACUACUGUGAACAAAACUAUAAAUCAAAUUUGGGGGGCCAAUGAGAUAAAAAUAAUUUGUCAAUCACCCACGUCUAUGAAAAUUUGAAGGGCUUUGGGGCCCUGCUACAUUAGAUCCCAAGCAUGAUAUGACCAGCUAAAUUUAUCAUCCUUAAUAGUCUUGACUAAUUUGCAGAUGCAUCUCAAUCUCUCCAUCUAUGCCCACAAUUAGGGUUGCAGCAUACAAAGAACAGCGUCAUACCUUCCUCUCCCCUAGCAGUUGCCUGGAAGAAGACAGCUUCUUGAUGGUUGCACAUGCUGCACUUAACGGAUUUAGUGCGAGGAAGUGUUGGAUCUGCAGCUACAUCCUGCAGUACCUGAGUCCGCUCUGCUACAGAGUGAUGUACCUCAUUUCUGUAUACACAGUUAUUUUCAGCAAUUUCCUGAUGAUCGCAAUUGCGGCAAGCAUAGAGGAGGAUCUUCUGUUCCUUAUCCUCCUUAGGGUAGAGAAUGUUGUUGCACUCGCGACAAAAUUUCAUGGUACUCAUCUUGAAAAGCCUUCGAUAGUGAAUAGAAACGAAUGAAGAAUCGGAAAAUAGGGUUUUCUUGGCGGGUGAGGGUUUUUGCAGUGACUGCUAGAGAGCCUGUUC
rnacentral:misc_RNA from 1 species